rnacentral:rRNA from 1 species
AUUGAACGCUGGCGGCAGGCCUAACACAUUCAAGUCGAACGAGAGGCGGACGGGUGAGUAAUGACUGGGAAACUGCCUGAGGGAUGGGGAUAACUACUGGAAACGGUAGCUAAUUACGCAUAGCAUAAGCUGUGCCCGGAUGGGAUUAGGUUGUGGGUGGGGUAACGGCGCACCAAGGCGACGAUCCCGAGCUGGUCUGAGCGGAUGACCAGCCACACUGGAACUGAGACACGGUCCAGACUCCUACGGGAGGCAGCAGUGGGGAAUAUUGCACAAUGGGCGCAAGCCUGAUCCAGCCAUGCCGCGUGUAUGAAGAAGGCCGUCGGGUUGUAAAGUACUUUCAGCGGGGAGGCGUUACCCGCAGAAGAAGCACCGGCUAACUCCGUGCCAGCAGCCGCGGUAAUUC